rnacentral:ribozyme from 14 species
AAAGAAAAAAAAGAAAAAGAAAAGGGAGGAAAAGAGACGUUGGGAAGCUGAUGGUGCUGUCAAGAGACAAGUCUGAGCCCUUGUCCUUCCCUCUUCUUCCAUCUUCAUCUCAUGUCUUUCAUCUCAUUCUGAGCAAGCAGAGUCAAAGAGAAAGGAGAGAGAAGGAAGGACGGAA